GCAGCCCAGGUAUCAAAAUUCAAAUAAUCUAGUUCCUCAGCAAGGACUUUGAACCAACAUACCAUAUUGACUCUUCAAUAAAGUCUAAAUAAAUAGAGUUAACAUUUCCAUAAACUUGUGACAAGGAAGAGUUCUAUGUAAGGCACCAAAGGAGAGGCAACAUGAGAAUACAUUAAUAGCAUGGAAAUAAAUGAAGACCAGCCAAAUAAGAAAAGCAAAGUUUAUGUAUACUGAGCUUAUAAUAACAAGGGAAUCAGCUGCUAUUACUUGUGUUUUGGCAGAGACUCAGGCAGAGGAGUGGGAAACCUUUAUAGUGGAUAAAAGGGAAGGCUUCUGGUAUGCCCCGACUGAGGUUAUUGGCAAGGGGAAGCUAUAGAAGGAAAACUAGAAGUGGACCAUCCUAUGUAAUUGGUUAGGGGAUUAUAUUUGGCUUUCUCUGGUUGGUUCUAAGUUGGAAGUGAGGACAAAAUUAGGGAAACUGUCAGUUACUUAUCAAAUCCUGGACAUUUGGGACUGACUGAUACAGACAUCAUUGUUUAGCUUCCUAGAUUGCCACUAGACAUAGCAAUCUCUGUUCCUGCAUGUCUGACUUAUAGCCAGCUGGCUUCCUGAUUAUUUACUGUAGGAGCUGGUUUCCUGGGAAGGUUGCUGUAGGUUGUGGAUUAAAGUUCGAGUUUAUAUAUGGCCUGGCCAUUAUAAAUUUUUAUAUUUAGUGUGUCAAUUUGAAAAUAAAAUAUAAAACUUCCUUAUCCAUGUGGAAAAACAGAAUAAACAAAUUUGAGAUUGAAUACUAAACUAGAAAGAAUUACACAAUAUAUUAAUAUAUGUUAAUAUACUUAUCAUGCAAAGAGUUUUAGCAGCAAUUGUUAAACAUCUCAAUAGAAAAAAAAUAGCCUGGGCAAUAACGGAUAAUUCAAGAGAGAAGAAAAUAUAUUUAACUUCAAAAAAUGCAAAUAAAGUGAGAUUCAAUUUUCAGCUUGCUAUAGUGACAAACAUUAAAAUGUCUGACAAAACUGAGUGACAGCAUGGGUUGGAAGAAACAGACAUUCUGGUACACUGCUAAUGGUAGUCUAAAUUGGUCCAACUUUCCUGAAAGACAAUUUGGCAACUGUAUCAAGUGCCUUAAACAUAUGCCUUCCUUUUUGGCCAGCAGUGCUCUUCUAGGAAUUUAUCCUAAGAAAUAAUGAGGGAAAUGCACAAAUAUGAAGGGAGAAGGAGGAAUGUAAAUCAACUCAUGAUUCCAACAAUAAUAAAUUAAUUAAGUAAAUUAUGGUAUGUUAUAUCUAGUCCCUAAAAACGGUAAUGCAGGAGUUCCCUUUGUAGCUAAGAGGGUUGAGAACCUUACAUGGUGUCUGUGAGGAUGUGGGUUCGAUCCCUGGCCUUACUCCAUCGGUUAAGGAUUUGGUGUUGCCACUAGUUGCGGCAUAUGUUGCAGAUGUGGCUCAGAUCUGGUGUUGCUGUGGCUGUGGCCGUAGGCUGGCAGCUGCAGCUCCAAUUUGACUUCUGACCCGCAAUUUUCAUAUGCCACAAGUGUGGCCUUAAAAAAACUGUAAGAAUUAUGUUAAGCGAUAUGGAAAGUUAUAUAUUAGGUGUUAAUUUAGUGUAAUCUAUUUGAUGAAAAGAAUCUGUAAGAAUAAACACCAAAAAGCUAAAAAGUGUCAGAUCAUGGGAUUUGAACAUGAUUUAGUAUUAUUUUUUUGUUUAUCAGUUACUGCUAAUUUUUGACAAUGAGUAUUGCUCAAAAAUAGCAUUAGUGCUUUUAGUUCACAAAACCAUAAAAAACAAAUAUAUAUAGUUCAUGAUCUCUCCAAACUACAAAAUAUCAAUCAACAUUUAAAAAAAAGGUAAUCUAUGUACAUUAUUAUAAUAGUCAAAUAAUUGUUCAGAAAGCUUAUCAUGGGUAUCUGAGCUUUCCUCCUCUGUUCUACUGUUCUUUUUUUUUUUAGGACCACCCCUGCAGGAUAUGGAGGUUUCUAGGCUAGGGGUUGAAUCUGCUUUGCAGCUGUCAGCCUAUGCCAUAGCCACAGCAAUGCCAGAUCCAAGCUGUGUCUGUGACCUAUGCUGCAGCUUGCAGCAACACUGGAUCCCUAACCCACUGAGCAAGGCCAGGGAUCAAACCCACCUCCUCAUGAAUACCAGUCAUGUUCUUAGCCUGCUGAGACACAAUAGGAACUCCUACUCCAUGCUCUUUCCCCAAAGAUAAUUAUUGUUAACAAAAUUUUAUGUACUGUUUAGUUAUAUUUUAAGGGGGAAAAAAGUCCCUCCAUCAAAAAGGAGAAAAAAAAAAUAAACUAACAAUUCUAGACUAAUGUCUGUUGGCUCAGAAAAUAAAUCCUGCCUUCUGUUCCUCUUUAGCUCUUGUCUAAAUUCCUGAGUUUCCAACUCAUUGACUUCAUAUUAAGUUGAUUUAAAUUAUACCCUACAAUCUAUAUUAGAACAUAUAGCUUUUUAUGUUUUUGAGUCAAAUACCCUCUUUUUCUCCUAUUAAUAUUAAAAGUGCUUUUAAAAAGAGGCACAGAAUUUCCUAUAUAUUGACUGUAUAUUCAUUUUGUUGUAGUCCUGAUGCACAGUUGCAUCUUUUUGCAGAUUAUCCAUGAUGCUAAAAAUUCUUCCCACACUUACAUUUGACACAGGAAUUGAAAUAGAAAACUGAACCCAUUUAAACAAAUUUAGAGCUGAAGUUUCUGUGCUAAAGACAAGUUUUGAUUUUUUUUUCAUGUUGUUUCCUCAAGAGAAAUGACCAUCUCCUGUCCAAAGCACAGACUUUCUCUUAAAGAAAAUUUGAAGUGGACUCUUAUUUUCAUUAUGAAAACAUUCAGAUAUGAGUUAUUUUAUCAAAAGAAGGAGAUAACUCAUGAUCAAGCAAACAUGAUAUAUCCAGAGCAAUAUAUGGUGGCUAUUCAAAAAGAAAUUACUUCUUUGUAUAUAGGAGAGCUCUUAUAUUCUGAUUUAAUUCUUUGCAGGUAAAAUCACUAACUAUGCAAACUGGUGGUUAUUUUGUAAUGUGUAUAAAGCUCCUGUGUCCUGAGGGCAUGGAUUCAGACUGGAAGAUUUGGCUUCCUACACUGCAUUAUAAGGAAGCACCAUUGAAUUGAUUAAAUAAUCAGAGACCCGUGCACAGUCAGCUCAGUUGUAGAAAGUGCCCUUGACUUUGACUGAAAAAUCUGAACCUCAGCUCUACAAUAAUCUCUGUAGUUCCUGCCUGUUAUUCCUUUUCCCUGGAUUCUGGGCAUAUACGCUGACUAGAGUGAGGUGCUUUCAGGUGAGGAGGUCCAGGAAAGACAUCUUGCACAAUAUACAGAUAGCACAUUGAAGUAGAGCUUAUUAGUGAUCUUUCUUCCCACUUCUGUGAUUCUAGUUUCAUUAGGAAUGACCUCUUCCAGGACAAUUUUGGCUUCGAAUGUAUCAACCUCUGUAACUUUUCCUAAUUCUGAUCAUUUUCUCAAGAUCUGGAGUACUGACUUAGGAAAAUCAGUCUUCUACAAACUCACAAAUAUCCAGAGGCUAUACCAUCUACCAUAACCUUUUCCUUGAUGGAUUCCUAAAUCACCAUAUCUGGCAUCAGAUUAUGUCUUGAUUUGGCAGCACUUCAUAAAGCCUUGAAGUUCCUGUCUUUCAUCUCUUAUUCUUUUAUUGAUGGGAUAACUAACAACCAAAACCUAGGAGGCUAAUUCUUUCAUGCUUGCUAUUGCUAAAACACCUCUCCAUAAUUUAAACCAGCUAUAAUAAUUCACUGUCUUCUCUUUAAGAAUUGGCCUUUAAAAAAUAAUCCUGGCUGCUUUUGCUAUUAUAGCAGCUGAGUCGCAUGGGGUAUAUGAUGAACAAUCCAGGGGACACCAUUUGCAUGAUAGUCUGAGUGUCAGCCCUAAAGUUGAGCCAUAUAGUGCUUAUACUGAACACAGGAGUGUCACAUCUAACCAAGACAUAGCUGGUCAGAGAAGGUAUCCCAGAAAUAAUAUAAAGGGAGCCUUCUGACAAACCCCAGUUUGACAUACAUGUCUGUGAUUUUCCUAUUUAUGGUAUUAUUACACUGUGAUAUAAUAGCUUAUCUUAUUUCUUUGCCUCCUCAACUUACCUUUAUGAGUUUCAUAAAGAUAGUGAUUACUCAUAUUUUAUCACAAGUGGUUGCAAAGUGCCUUGCACAUUUUAAGACUAGUUGUUGAAAAAAAGACUACAAGGCAUUUAGUGGUAUGAUAAAGAAAAAGAAAAAGAGGUAACUCUAGGGGAUGAGAGUCAAAUGAUAGUAUCUAUUGGUCUAUAUUUUGGAAUGGUUGAAGAUGAAAAUGUCCAUAUAUCCUCUUUCAAAUCCAGCUACUCUCUCCAAGUGCAUCCACAUUUUCCAUAGUCUUUUAGCUGCUCAGCACACUCAGGCUGCCACUCUCUCUAAGCACAUUAAUAUAUGCAAAUAAACCAAAGUAAAACAAUAUAUAAUGAUAAUUGUGAUGGGCACUAACAACACCAUGGCUAACACUAGUACCUAGAUAUGUUCUAUGUGUUAUGCAUAUGAACUUGACUUUCAUCUAGAAAUAAACCUGAGACUGAAGAGACACUGGGGAAAUCUAGAGACACUCUAUUCUGGUCCUAAGAGGUAUGAAUGUGCCCUAAGGAAGGUAAGGGGGGAAAAUCAUAUGCAUAUAUUAGCAAAGCCCAUAUUAAGUAAAACAGAAGUUGACACUCAUUUGGUACUGUUAAGUUCUCAGGACCAACUUCACCUACAGCUUUAAGAAUAAUAGAAAUCACCAUAGCUUCAUGUUAGUAAGCUUCAGAAAUGAAUACAGACUUGAUGUUAUUUUUUUUUGGAUUAAAAUAUAGUUGAUGUACAAUAUUAUAUGUUAUAGGUGUAAAACAUAGUGAUUCACAAUUUUUAAAUGUUAUACUUUGUUUUUGGUUAUUAUAAAGCAUUGGCUAUAUUCCCUGUGUUAUACAAUAAUAUAUCCUUGUACCCUUAAAGCUCUUCUCUUUUCUUCAUGGUUUCCUAAUGUCCUUUGGACAUGAUACCAGAUAUUAAGACCAACCAAGAGUCUGGUAGUAUCAUAGACAAUCUUGAAUUUUAUGCUUCUGGGUAUAUAUAUUUUUUAUAAAUGGUGGGAAUCAGACAAUCAGCCCUGAACUAACAGAUCACCAACAAGAUUUUCAAUAGCUAUCCACCAGGCUAUACACAACACGAGUGCAGAGAUAUGCAUAUUAAUUUAUUCAUUCUAUUAUUAAUUCAUGUAAAUCUGUAUUAUUUAACUUCCAUAUUCUAGGUACUAUACCAGUGAUGUGCAAAAUGGGCAUUAUCCCCAUCUUCAUUGAAUUUACAACCCAGUAGCUGAGUUGGGAAUACAGAUGUUGAACAAAUACAUAGUUACAAAUUUUAAGUGCUACGAAGAAAAUAAUAUAGUAUCAUGGAUUACUGCCAAACUAGAAUUCUAUACUCAGCAAAACAUCUUUCAGUAUUUAAAAAGAUGAAACAAAGACAUGUUUACUAAAACAAAUAUGAGAAAAAUUAAUCUCCAAAAGACUGUCAGUUAUUACAAAAAUCUAGAAAAUAAUCUUCAGGUGAAAGGUAAGUAAUCUCUAAUUUUUAAAAAAUUUUUUAUUAUGGAGUUCCCGUCGUGGCGCAGUGGUUAACGAAUCCGACUAGGAACCAUGAGGUUGCGGGUUCGGUCCCUGCCCUUUCUCAGUGGGUUAACGAUCCGGCGUUGCCGUGAGCUGUGGUGUAGGUUGCAGACGCGGCUCGGAUCCUGCGUUGCUGUGGCUCUGGCGUAGGCUGGUGGCUACAGCUCCGAUUCAACCCCUAGCCUGGGAACCUCCAUAUGCCGUGGGAGUGGCCCAAGAAAUAGCAACAACAACAACAACAAC
rnacentral:lncRNA from 1 species